CUACGGGGGGCUGCAGUAGGGAAUCUUCGGCAAUGGGGGCAACCCUGACCGAGCAACGCCGCGUGAGUGAAGAAGGUUUUCGGAUCGUAAAGCUCUGUUGUAAGAGAAGAACGAGUGUGAGAGUGGAAAGUUCACACUGUGACGGUAACUUACCAGAAAGGGACGGCUAACUACGUGCCAGCAGCCGCGGUAAUACGUAGGUCCCGAGCGUUAUCCGGAUUUAUUGGGCGUAAAGCGAGCGCAGGCGGUUAGAUAAGUCUGAAGUUAAAGGCUGUGGCUUAACCAUAGUACGCUUUGGAAACUGUUUAACUUGAGUGCAGAAGGGGAGAGUGGAAUUCCAUGUGUAGCGGUGAAAUGCGUAGAUAUAUGGAGGAACACCGGUGGCGAAAGCGGCUCUCUGGUCUGUAACUGACGCUGAGGCUCGAAAGCGUGGGGAGCAAACAGGAUUAGAUACCCGCGUAGUC
rnacentral:rRNA from 1 species